rnacentral:lncRNA from 1 species
UAUAUAUUUGUUUCCACACGACAAUAUGGCUUUGGAAAAUGUAUUUGAAAAUUAACUCACAGCUAACUUGUUGUAUUGACAAUUACUGUAUGAAUAUGGUAUGGAGUGAAACGUAAUGAACUAACGACUUGAGAUCAAAAGAUACAAUGAGGAUAUCAGUUAUGACUUCUAUAUUGAAUGGAUUGUUAGAUUAACAUCAAUUUUUUUUAUAGAAUGUAAAUUAUUGCUAUCUUGCGUCAACACAAAGAACACAACACCCAGCACAUGCAACUUAAAUUAUUAUAAGGAUUCAUAUACUGAACGAUAUUGCUUUGGAAAAUUUAUUGGUGUAUAAAUAUGGUAUGGAAUGAAAUGUUAUGAACAACUUUAGAUCAAAAGAUUAUGAUUAAGAUACAAGUUCUGACUUCUACAAUGAAUGGAUUAUUUAUAUAU